AGAGUUUGAUCCUGGCUCAGAACGAACGCUGGCGGCAUGCCUAACACAUGCAAGUCGAACGAGACCUUCGGGUCUAGUGGCGCACGGGUGCGUAACGCGUGGGAAUCUGCCCUUAGGUUCGGAAUAACUCAGGGAAACUUGAGCUAAUACCGGAUGAUGACGUAAGUCCAAAGAUUUAUCGCCUAAGGAUGACCCCGCGUAAGAUUAGCUAGUUGGUGGGGUAAAGGCCUACCAAGGCUACUAUCUUUAGCUGGUCUGAGAGGAUGAUCAGCCACACUGGGACUGAGACACGGCCCACACUCCUACGGGAGGCAGCAGUGGGGAAUAUUGGACAAUGGGCGAAAGCCUGAUCCAGCAAUGCCGCGUGAGUGAUGAAGGCCUUAGGGUUGUAAAGCUCUUUUACCCGGGAUGAUAAUGACAGUACCGGGAGAAUAAGCUCCGGCUAACUCCGUGCCAGCAGCCGCGGUAAUACGGAGGGAGCUAGCGUUGUUCGGAAUUACUGGGCGUAAAGCGCACGUAGGCGGCUUUGUAAGUUAGAGGUGAAAGCCCGGGGCUCAACUCCGGAACUGCCUUUAAGACUGCAUCGCUCGAAUCCAGGAGAGGUGAGUGGUAUUUCCGAGUG
rnacentral:rRNA from 1 species